rnacentral:rRNA from 1 species
UACGUAGGGGGCAAGCGUUAUCCGGAAUCAUUGGGCGUAAAGCGCGUGUAGGCGGUUCCGUAAGUCCGCUCUGAAAGCCCAGGGCUCAACCCUGGGAGGCGGGUGGAUACUACGGAACUGGAGUACGGAAGAGGAGAUUGGAAUUCCUGGUGUAGCGGUGAAAAUGCGCAGAUAUCAGGAGGAACACCAACAGCGAAGGCAGAUCUCUGGGACGUUACUGACGCUGAGACGCGAAAGCGUGGGGGAGCAAACAGG